UUUCUUACUCCUUUCUCCAGAGGUCCAUUAGGGUGUGAGAUUCAAGAGAGGGCUGUCAAGGACAUCCAGGUGCAGAUGGUGGCUUUGGAGAUGGAAGGUCCCAGGGCUUUGUCUCUGCUCUCCACUGAGGUGUAUCAGUCAUUUGCUUAUCCAGACAUGCCUACUGGACACCUACUACAGUGUGACAGGCAUCCACCCUGUGAAGUCACCCUGUCAGUGAAGUUAGCACAUCCCUUGUCUUUGGGUACCUAUUAUGUAAGACCUAAGGAGGAAAGUGCAGCUGUGUGCUCGCUACAGAAGGCUGUAGCUAGUGUGUGAGUUGGAUCAGUGUGGAGGGAAGAGACCUAUAUGGAAGACUGAGCCAAGCCUUCUGGGAAGGAGAGACCUUGACCUCAUACCUGAAAGAAACUGGAUGAGCAAGUGAGAUCCAAGUAAUAGGAGGCAAAGUGUCCAUCCUCCCCCAAGGAAGGGGUUGCAGCAUGGCUGUGCUGUCCAAGCAUCCCUGCCUGCCCCCUGCAGCCCACACACCAGGACUCAGGUGGGAGGCAGGAGUUGCUCCAGAGGAUCUGAAUAUUUUUGCAUAAUUGCCCUCAUUUUGUUUAACUGCCUACUAAUUUGUUUAUGAGAUUACAUAAAAGCGGUAGACACACUAGUAGCUAAAUACAGAACUUUACGCUCCCCACAAAGAGCCAUCAAAAUGACAUGCAAAUGUUUCUAUAUUUAUCUCUUGCUUUGCCGCCAAUUCUUCAUAUGGACGUAAUUUGUAUGUGUGCAUAUUUAUGUUAAUAAUUUUAUUUAUAGAACACUAUUAGACAACUUAUGACAUCAUUUAUUAAACCCCGAAGAAUGCUUAGCUUUCACAUUUAUUUCUUGUUUUUAAUUAUUUUAAUGGGUUCAUUGUCAGUUGUUUCCUGGUAGAUAAUGUGUAUAGAUGUAGUCUUUGGCCAGAGUGAUUGCCUUGUCAUUAGACAGCCUAAAUGAGACCAGCUCAUUUGGCUGGGUUAUUCCAUUUAUUGCUUAUUUAUUUAUUCACUUAUGUGUUUGAGGGGCUAAGUGUUGAACUUUGGGCUUCACAUAUGCCAGGCAGAUGCUCAAACACUGAGCCAUCUCCCAAACUUUUUUCUUUUCUUUCUUUUUAAAUUAAAUAUUUAUUUAUUUUUUAUUUUGAGACAAGAUCUUAGUAAGCUGUCUAGCCUGACUUUGAGCUCCCUCUAUAGCCCAAGCUGGCCUUAAACUUGAAAUUCUUCUGCCUCCAUUCCUGAAGUAGCUCAGAUUAUUGGCUGUGCAGCACCAAGCCUGGUUUAGUUUCCUCUUGAAGCCAGGAAGGCUGUCGAAUUCAUGUUGUAGACAAAGGGGAUUGCUUUUUUUAAAGCCUAGAAGUCAUAGAGCAAAACUACUCAGAAAUCACACUUAGGUGACAGAGUGAUAAGAAAAGUUCCUUCAGGAGCCACUACCACUUUACCUGUGGAAACUCUUGAGUCGAGAGAGGCGAAAAGGGCCUUGGUUCAGACCAAGACUCAGAGGGAUAGAUUGGAGGAUUUUCUUUCAGGAUAACCUAGUGUUCUUUUAGAGUUAGCAUUCUAAUUAUUAUCAUUUCAAUGUAAAUCAGCCUCUAAAAUCACUCCAUUCAGAAAGGUUAGGAAGGGAUAUGGAAUUUGGCUAAAAUCAUUUAAAUUACACACAAUAACAUUGAGUUCAUUAUUCUUCCUGUUCCCUCUAUCCAGCUAGGUUUGUUGUUUUAUUUGGGUUUUGUUGGGGGAUUUUGUUGGUUUUCUGUGCCGACUUAUUCUCUAAAAUAGGGACCAAGAGCUGAGUAACAGCUUACAUAUCUUUUCCUGGAAGCACUUUGUUAAGGUAAAACCUGCCUCCUGUAGUAUACAAGGGUAAGUGUAUCUUCCAAAAAUAAAAAAAAAAAA
rnacentral:lncRNA from 1 species